UUGCUCUUCGCCGCGACGCGGUACCAUCGCGGCAACUUACUGCCUCACACGAAAAUGGCUAUAACUUUUCGCCUGGGUGUUGGAUUAGUUGAAAUUAGUAUCGCUGGAAAACUAAUUCAAUUAUCUACAAUUUAGUAGAUCUUGAGAUGGAAGAUUCUACAUAUACCAAAAGUUAUACACUUUCAACCCUUGUAGAAUUGUACACCAAACUUUGAAUGAAUCUAACGUU
rnacentral:lncRNA from 1 species